rnacentral:rRNA from 1 species
CCCUUAGAUGUUCUGGGCCGCACGCGUGCUACACUGAGUGGAUCAGCGGGUCAGGUUGCGCGAAAGCGUUUCCUAAUCUUUAAAUCCGCUCGUGAUGGGGAUUGACGGUUGCAAUUUUCUGUCAUGAACGAGGAAUACCUUGUAAGCGCGGGUCAUCAUCCCGCGCUGAAUACGUCCCUGCCCUUUGUACACACCGCCCGUCGCUCCUACCGAUUGAAUGGUUCGGUGAAGAUCUCGGACUUCGAUAUUUAUUCUUUAUUGAGUUUAUAUUGUGGGAAGUUGUCUAAACCUCAUCAUUUAGAGGAAGGUGAAGUCGUAACA